GGCACGGUGGUGCAGUGGUAGCACUGUGGCCUUACAGUUAGAAGGUUGCUGGUUCGAGGCUUGCUGGUGUUC